UCUUUUUUUCCUGCUGGAAUUCUACCAGCUGCCAAGGAGAGGAAUCAGGAAAGCCAGUAACCAGUGAAUGUGAAAAAAGUCAACAUUGUUUGGAGCAGGAGAGCUGGGUCAGAACGACAAAAGGGUUUCUCAGCAGCAAAUGUUACUCCAGGGACUGGAAUAUAAUUAACUCCUGCCUACUCCUCCCCUCUUCCAGGAUGCCAUCCAGCAUGCCAGCAGCACACAGAGGCUUCUGUGAAAUGUCACUCCCAGCCCUGGGAUUUUCCAGCAGAGCCAAAGGAAUGGGGAUCCUUGUGCUUGUUUUCAUAUUCAUCUCCCUGACCCAGCACGGAGAUGCCCAUGGACCAGACAGCUGUAACCAGGGAGGGGGCCUGUGCCGAGUGGGAAGCUGUGCUUCUGGGGAAUACCUGGCUCAGUUCUGCUUUGAACCCGUCAUUCUCUGCUGCAAAAAUCUGUCACCUGCCACCGCAGAGAGCUGAAGGUUUCCAGAAGAGCCCCUGCAGCACAUGGAGAGCUGCAGGCUCCACUGGCACAGCACGAGCAGCUGCUGGGAAGGAGAUUUUGUGGUUUCCGUGGCUGUGGAUUCACUCAUGGACUCCUGAACACUUUGGUUUUGCUGUAAUUUUUUAGGAAACACUGUGUGACAAGCAAAAACUGGGGCCACUCAUAUCUGUGGUCCUUUGGGGACUCUUAUUGUUAUCUGACAUGCCCAGGUGAAAAAUUGCCUUUCUGCUUACCUAAAACAAAUAAACCUGAGGUUUAACAAAGCA